AGCAGCCGCGGUAAUUCCAGCUCCAAUAGCGUUAUAUUAAAGUUGUUGCAGUUAAAAAGCUCGUAGUUGAAUUUCGGGAUUAAUAUGCUGGUCGUGCCUUGGUACGGGGCAUUAUGAUUCCUACCUUCUGAGAACCUCGAGUCUUAAUUGGGUCUGGGGAAUCAGGCCGUUACUUGAAAAAAUUAGAGUGUUUAAAGCGGCUCGCGCUUGAAUACUUAGCUGGAUAAUGAAAUAGGACGUUUGAUUCUAUUUUGUUGGUUCUAGGAUCGACGAAUGAUUAAUAGGGAUAGUUGGGGGCCUUAGUAUUCAAUUGUCAGUGGGAAAUUUGGAUUUUUGAAGACUGACUCUGCAAAGCUUUCCAGGAUGCUUUCUUAAUCGAACGAAAGUUAGGGGAUGAAGACGAUC
rnacentral:rRNA from 1 species